rnacentral:rRNA from 1 species
GGCCGCCAGCGGUGGAGCUAUGUGGUUUAAUUCGAAGCAACGCGAAGAACCUUACCAGGCCUUGACAUCCCUUGCAGAGGUAUAGAGAUAUAUCCGAGGUUAUCAAGGAGACAGGUGGUGCAUGGUUGUCGUCAGCUCGUGUCGUGAGAUGUUGGGUUAAGUCCCGCAACGAGCGCAACCCUUGUGAUAUGUUACUAACAUUGAGUUGAGGACUCAUAUCAGACUGCCGGUGAUAAACCGGAGGAAGGUGGGGAUGACGUCAAAUCAUCAUGCCCCUUAUGGCCUGGGCUACACACGUACUACAAUGGCGUCUACAAAGAGCGGCAAGCCUGUGAAGGCAAGCGAAUCUCAUAAAGGACGUCUCAGUUCGGAUUGAAGUCUGCAACCCGACUUCAUGAAGCUGGAAUCGCUAGUAAUCGCGAAUCAGCAUGUCGCGGUGAAUACGUUCUCGGGCCUUGUACACACCGCCCGU